CCACAAAGGCUAAGUAGUAUCAGUAAUGUACAUGUAUGAGAAGAUGGCCGUCCGUGGUCUGCCAGACAGUGAGCAUGUCCUGCCAUUUACCACAUGCAUGUGAUGCACGAUUCGUUCAAACAUCAGAUCACAUCGCUAUUUGGUCAGCAACGCUCAGUCAUCCAUUUCUCAAGGCACAGUCCAGUUGUCCGUUUUCGUCUCCCUGCCUUUCUCUUUUGUUUCAAACGUCUUCUAGUGUUGUUGAACAGUCCCUCUGACCUACCUUUGUUAGUCAUGCAUUAUCUUUUCCAGUCAUUGUUACUCUUUCUCUCAACUACUAAUCAGUCUGUAGUGGCUACAACGCUCUCUCAGAGAGUAACAAGUUCAGCACAACGCUCUCUCAAUGAAUAACAAGUUCUGCACAACGCUCUCUCAGUGAAUAACAAGUUCAGCAUAACGCUCUCUCAGUGAAUAACAAGUUCAGCAUAACGCUCUCCUUCUCUCAACGACCUACUUAUUCCAGUCAGCCCACUCAGCCAACGUUUGAAGAAGAUCUUUAAAGGAACGGACAACUCACUCAACAUGUCCAGUCAAGAAGUAGAAGGCUUUUCUCAGGAGGUCCGGCGACGGGGUGCCACACUGGAAAGUCUUCAGGCUGCUGUGCCUCCUGAGCAGCCGCAAUUGUCCUCCACAUCACGUAAAGUGACAUGGACACCAUCAUACUGGGAUACAUACUGCUACUCAAUGGGAACAAUGCUCCUUGUUGUGAUCUGCUUGGAGGGUCAUCAUCUUCGUGAUGAAAUCCUCUACACUAUUGUACACUACAUAUUUAGUGUACAUAGUGUAGAGAUGGAUGAGCAAGACGAAAAUAACGUUGUAAGUUGUUGUGUUCUUGAUUGUUACAAGACUCAGUACUGUUCAGUUUUGUCAUGGUUGUUCUGUAUGUCUGUCUGUGUGUGCGUCUGUCUGUUGUCUGUCUGUCUGUCUGUCUGCCUGUCUGUCUGUCUGUCUGUCUGUCUGUCUGUCUGUCUGCCUGACGCUUCACUCCUGUGUUUCUGUAUCCCUACACUGUAAAAUGCAUCCGUCUGUCCACAUGCCCCAAGGCUUCGCGUCAUUGGGAUGCACAACUGACUGUGUGUCUGUCACAUGUGUGUGUGUGUGCUUGCGCAUGCCUGUGUGUGCGUGCACGUGUGUGUGUGUGUGUGUAUGUGCGCGCGCGUGUGUGUGUGCGUGUGCGCAUGUGCCUGUGUGUGUGUGUGCGCGUGCAUGUGUGUGUAUAUGUAUGUGUGCGUGCGCGCUUGUGUGUGUGUGUGCGUGCGCGCUUGUGCCUGUGUGUGUGUGUAUGUGUGUGUGUGUGUGUGUGUGUG